UCUUGGGUAGCGUAAUCGGCAGCGCGUUUGACUGUUAAUCAAAAGGUUGGAGGUUCGAGCCCUCCCCCGAGAG